CUCCAAAGUGUUGAGUUCAGUUCAGGGUUACUUCCCUGUUCUGUUAAUUAAACUUUGGAACAUUGAAACAGGCUAGGAGAAGUGAUUGGAUAGAAAAUGGUAUUCUAUUCAUUUAUCUCCCAGCCUACAAAA
ensembl:snoRNA